UUCCAGGGCAAGGCCCCCCAAAUGGCAUUAACAUUUGACCGAGGCCCCCCUUUUGCAAGAUGUCUUUAAAACACAUUAAAAAUACAGACUUCUGAAUAUAUCCCCCUUUUUAUUAAUAAUUACAUAUGUACAUUACAUUAGGAAUUGAGUGUGUGUGUGUGUGUGUGUGUGUGUGUGUGUGUGGUUGUCUGAGAGUGAGAAAGAAAAAAAAAUAAAUAAAAAAUAAAAAGUCAUUUAUAUUUCACACCAAAUUGUUGAUGCCCCCCGGAUGCCCCUCAUUUUGAAAGCCACGGAGCUAGGUUAGGGACCCAUAGAGCUCAGAAAGGAAAUGACUUCACAGGAGCAGGAGGAACUAACUGAACUGAAACAAGAUUGUGGUUUAAAGCUAAGAUUUUUGUUCUUCCUUUGGACAGUUUUUGUUUGACUGCUGACAAAGAGUUCCCCAUUCUGGCCAACAAAGCUGUUUUGACAUUGCUUCCAUUUUCCACAACAUAUCUGUGUGAACUGAGCUUUUCAAGCCUAACUGCUAUAAAAACUAAAAACAGAGAGAUUGAGAGCUGUUGAAGACGAGCUUCGUGUGUGUCUUUCUUCAAUUCCUGCCAGGAUAUCAGCUUUGUGUUCAUCUAAACAGGCCCAGGUUUCACACUGAAAAACCUGCACACUCUGAGGGCAGCAAUGGACACCAUGACCUCCUUUUCUUACAUCUGCAUCGUGUGGAUCACCAUCUGUGUGGACCCCCUCUCUGCAGUACCUGAGUUCACUGUAUCUGGACAUGUGGGGUCUACAGCUGUCCUGCCGUGUGAACUGCAGAGUGAAGUCACUGGAACACCGUAUAUUACCUGGCGGAUCGAUUCUGAGAUUGUGUUUGAGUGACUCGGUGAGGAGACCUAUCAGGGUGAGGGAUAUGAGGAGCGUGUGGACGUUCCUGAGGAAGAGCUGCGUAAGGGGAACUGUGCCUUGGU